rnacentral:rRNA from 1 species
UACGUAGGGUGCGAGCGUUAAUCGGAAUUACUGGGCGUAAAGGGCGCGUAGGCGGCUGAUCAAGUCAGGUGUGAAAGCCCACGGCUUAACCGUGUGAAGUGCAUCUGAAACUGGUCGGCUUGAGUAUCGGAGAGGAAAGUGGAAUUCCCGGUGUAGAGGUGAAAUUCGUAGAUAUCGGGAGGAAUACCGGUGGCGAAGGCGGCUUCCUGGCAUGUAACUGACACUCAUGUUCGAAAGCGUGGGUAGCAAACAGGAUUAG